rnacentral:lncRNA from 1 species
UUUUUUAAAUUACUUUUUAAUAACUUACUUUUUAUUUUAUGUGUACUGGUAUUUUGUCUGCAUUCAUGUCUGUGUAAGAGUGCUGGGACCCCUGGAACUGGAGUUACAGGCAGUUGUGAGCCACCAUGUGGUUGCUGGGAAUUGAACCCAGAUCCUCUGGAAGAGCAGCCAGUGCUCCAGCCCCUGAGCCCUCUCUCCAGACUGCCAAUCUUCCACCUCAAUCCUCUCGCCAUUUCCCCAUAAGAUAAGGCCUCUACAUAUUCCAGCAUGAACUGGCUCAGACCUGCUUUACAGCUGAGGAUGGCCUUGAACUUCCUAUUACCUCUCAAGUACUAAGUUUAUAGUUAUUUUACACCGCCAUGCCGUUUGUGCAGUGCUAGAGACUGAACC